CAACUUUUGACAAUGGAUCUCUUGGUUCUCGCAACGAUGAAGAACGCAGCAAAAUGCGAUAAGUAGUGUGAAUUGCAGAAUACGUGAACCAUCGAAUCUUCGAACGCAUAUUG
rnacentral:rRNA from 1 species